rnacentral:rRNA from 1 species
UGCAAGUCGAACGAGAGAAUUGCUAGCUUGCUAAUAAUUCUCUAGUGGCGCACGGGUGAGUAACACGUGAGUAACCUGCCCCCAAGAGUGGGAUAGCCCCGGGAAACUGGGAUUAAUACCGCAUAAAAUCGCAAGAUUAAAGCAGCAAUGCGCUUGGGGAUGGGCUCGCGUCCUAUUAGUUAGUUGGUGAGGUAACGGCUCACCGAGGCGAUGACGGGUAGCCGGUCUGAGAGGAUGUCCGGCCACACUGGAACUGAGACACGGUCCAGACACCUACGGGUGGCAGCAGUCGAGAAUCAUUCACAAUGGGGGAAACCCUGAUGGUGCGACGCCGCGUGGGGGAAUGAAGGUCUUCGGAUUGUAAACCCCUGUCAUGUGGGAGCAAAUUAAAAAGAUAGUACCACAAGAGGAAGAGACGGCUAACUCUGUGCCAGCAGCCGCGGUAAUACAGAGGUCUCAAGCGUUGUUCGGAAUCACUGGGCGUAAAGCGUGCGUAGGCGGUUUCGUAAGUCGUGUGUGAAAGGCGGGGGCUCAACCCCCGGACUGCACAUGAUACUGCGAGACUAGAGUAAUGGAGGGGGAACCGGAAUUCUCGGUGUAGCAGUGAAAUGCGUAGAUAUCGAGAGGAACACUCGUGGCGAAGGCGGGUUCCUGGACAUUAACUGACGCUGAGGCACGAAGGCCAGGGGAGCGAAAGG